rnacentral:lncRNA from 1 species
GGGUGUUAUAGCGAGCAAGCACCAGGCUAUAUAUGGUAUGUUUACUGAAGGAUUAGGCAUCAACGUGUUACAGAAGGACUGAUGUCGUGCACCGGACACUGAGCUUGCUGCUUAGAAAGCAGUGUGUCACAGACCCCUCGUGCUCCUGGCCACGGGUGCCAGUGAAACCUCUAGAAAACAGGAACAGGUUAUGCUGCGAGUAAUGAUUAACUGCGGGGAGUAUCAGCCCAGCCAGCUCCACCCUCCCGCGCUCCCCAUCUCCUCUCUUCCUCCUCCGGUACUUCAGGGCCCGGCUGUCCACAAGGCAGCCAGGAGGAGGGCAUGACGCGCAGCCAGGCGCAUGCUGUGCCGUGCAGAAGGGAUGAUGGGCACAGACAAGUGCACCCGCUCCUUCUUCACAAACAGCUGGCAGCAGGCGAGCCAGCGCCGCAGCUCCCCGCCUGCCGGCGAUGCAGCCGAGCCCGCACAGGCCUAUUUCAUAACAGGAGGGAGAAAAAUCCUGAAAGGGCAGAGGGAGGAGGGUGGACUAAAGAUGCCUUAAAGCGCAGCAGAAGCCGGAGCCGAGCUGCAGCCCCUUCUCUGCCCCGACACCUUUCACACCCUGUCACGCUCCAGCACAAACGCCGGCCCACGGGAAGGGGACGCCAGAAAACGAAACGUUGAGCCCGACACGGGCUGAUCCUGGACACGUGGCUUCUUUAUGACAGGGAACAGAAGUGACCUGACCAACUCAGCGACGCUGCCAGCCCGCCCGUGCCAGCCCAUCGCCUUCAUCGCUACUCCUCCAGCACCUCAAAAAUAAAAACUAUGCAAACAAUAAGGGGGCGGGGAAGCAAAGCAGAGAAAACCCCAAACCACACGCUCAGAAGACUGCGUGCCCCGAAAAUCUAACCAGAGCUGGUGCGGGGGCGGCAGCACCGGGACACGUUCUCACCGCUGCAGCAGAUUUAUGUCUUCAUUGUGUGCAGUACCCACAGGGUUAAUGGACAGCCCAAAGAUCAGCCAUCUACCUGCUAAGCAACGCAGGCAUCAACUCAAAGCUCUGCGGGGGGUUUGACACGGGCUGAACAGUUUCUGACCGAUGGCAAGAACGUGGGCUCGCUCAGUAGCCAUUUUAAGCAACGGAUGCAUUCACCACGGGAGCGCAGCGACAAAAGAACCGGGGGCAAAAACACGGGGCAGUAACACGGACCCCUAAAAGCUCAGCAACACACGCACGGCUCGAUCGCAGCAGCAGCAGCAGCACGCGUGAAAUGCACUGAAAGAAACCAACAAAGAAAGAGAGAUGAUUAAACGACCUUCAGAGCACAGCAAAUCCCUCAGAGCAAUGAGUGCCGGGCACAAGAAAUGUCCUGGUUUCCAGUCAGUUGUUUCAUAUGUUUUCCAGGGAGUUCUCGUGCUGUGGGAAAGAUUUCUGCGUGCAUUGAAAGUAAGCCUGCAACAUCCCCUUCCACUCCCACAGCAAGUAUGCAAUCCAUA